rnacentral:rRNA from 1 species
GAUGAACGCUAGCGGCAGGCUUAAUACAUGCAAGUCGAGGGGCAGCAUAGUGUAGCAAUACAUGGGUGGCGACCGGCAAACGGGUGCGGAACACGUACAGAACCUUCCUUCGAGCGGGGAAUAGCCCAGAGAAAUUUGGAUUAAUACCCCAUAGGAUAGUGGAGUGGCAUCACUCAGCUAUUAAAGAUUUAUCACUUGAAGAUGGCUGUGCGUCUGAUUAGGUAGUUGGUGGGGUAACGGCCCACCAAGCCAGCGAUCAGUAACUGGUGUGGGAGCACGACAAGUCACACGGGCACUGAGACACGGGCCCGACUCCUACGGGAGGCAGCAGUAAGGAAUAUUGGUCAAUGGACGCAAGUCUGAACCAGCCAUGCCGCGUGGAGGAUGAAGGUCCUCUGGAUUGUAAACUUCUUUUAUCUGGGACGAAAUAAGGCCUUUCCAAGUCGUCUGACGGUACCGGAUGAAUAAGCACCGGCUAACUCCGUGCCAGCAGCCGCCGUAA